UGGGGUGGCUCUGAUUCAUGGAAGGAUAAAAAAUGCGCUUAUAGCUAUAUUGUUGAUGGAGCACAGCAGAGAUUGGCUGGUUGGAAGGUGGACAAUCUUUCAUUGGCUGGUUGGAAGGUGGACAAGCUUUCAUUGGCUGGAAGAGUUGCUCUUUGUCAAUCGGUCAUUCAAGCCCUGCCUUUGUAUACAAUGCAAUCUGCAAAGUCUUCCAAAAUCUACUUGUGAGGAUGUUGAGAGGAUUUGUAAGCGUUUCAUUUGGGG
rnacentral:lncRNA from 1 species